rnacentral:misc_RNA from 1 species
GCAAUUCAUAGAAAUCAGAAUCUGUGGAGUCAAAUAUGAUUGACAAUUAUGACACCAAAGAAAAGGGAGAGCAAAAAAUUGCACAGAAAUCAACUGAUUAUAUUAAAAUAUGAUUUUGAAAGUAAAUGCAUGUCCUUCAAAUCUAGUAAGGUUCGAUCCCAUGACACAACAUGCAUGUAAACUGUGCCAAACUAAAAACACACUAAUUGUGAGAUUCUAUAAUGCCAUAAUUAUCAACAGCAUUCAAAAGGGAUCUCAACUUGAUACAAGAAUGCUAUAAGAAGAAUCAGGUGCAUCCAACUGAGACUAAAAAGUUGAUUCUCACAAAUUUUCACAUUUCAUCAUUCGCAAAGCAAGAGGAGCAGUUAACUGGUCCCAGACAUAUCACAUGUGAACUCAGUGUGAUGCCACACAAAAAUAAGUAAAUGUUAAUAUGUCCAACAUCAGAGUAAACCAAAAAUAUCAUGCCACAACAACUGUUUACCAAAUAAAAUUUUAUCACAAGAAGAAAAGCAUAAUACCUAAAAAAGAAAUUAAAAAAAAAAUUGCUUACAAAAAAUCAAGUAGGGAACCAACUGCCACUUUAGUAUAUUAAUAAAGCAGCCAACUAAAAAAACUUGAGAAGAG